rnacentral:rRNA from 1 species
GUGUCAGCCGCCGCGGUAAUACGGAGGGUGCGAGCGUUGUUCGGAAUCAUUGGGCGUAAAGCGGGUGUAGGCGGUGGAGUGUGUCUGAUGUGAAAGCCCGGGGCUCAACCCCGGAAGUGCAUUGGAAACUGCUUCACUUGAGUCUCGGAGAGGGCAGUGGAAUUCCUGGUGUAGAGGUGAAAUUCGUAGAUAUCAGGAGGAUCACCGGUGGCGAAGGCGACUGCCUGGACGAAGACUGACGCUGAGACCCGAAAGCGUGGGGAGCAAACAGGAUUAGAGACCCGGGUAGUCCACGCCGUAAACGAUGUGCACUAGAUGCUGCGGGAGAGUUGCACCUGCGGUGUCGUAGCUAACGCGUUAAGUGCACCGCCUGGGGAGUACGGCCGCAAGGCUGAAACUUAAAUGAAUUGGCGGGG